AUUGAACGCUGGCGGCAUGCCUUACACAUGCAAGUCGAACGGUAACGGGUCCUUCGGGAUGCCGACGAGUGGCGAACGGGUGAGUAAUAUAUCGGAACGUGCCCAGUAGUGGGGGAUAACUGCUCGAAAGAGCAGCUAAUACCGCAUACGACCUGAGGGUGAAAGGGGGGGAUCGCAAGACCUCUCGCUAUUGGAGCGGCCGAUAUCAGAUUAGCUAGUUGGUGGGGUAAAGGCCUACCAAGGCAACGAUCUGUAGUUGGUCUGAGAGGACGACCAGCCACACUGGGACUGAGACACGACCCAGACUCCUACGGGAGGCAGCAGUGGGGAAUUUUGGACAAUGGGCGCAAGCCUGAUCCAGCAAUGCCGCGUGCAGGAAGAAGGCCUUCGGGUUGUAAACUGCUUUUGUCAGGGAAGAAAUCUUCUGGGCUAAUACCCCGGGAGGAUGACGGUACCUGAAGAAUAAGCACCGGCUAACUACGUGCCAGCAGCCGCGGUAAUACGUAGGGUGCGAGCGUUAAUCGGAAUUACUGGGCGUAAAGCGUGCGCAGGCGGCUUUGCAAGACAGAUGUGAAAUCCCCGGGCUCAACCUGGGAACUGCAUUUGUGACUGCAAGGCUAGAGUACGGCAGAGGGGGAUGGAAUUCCGCGUGUAGCAGUGAAAUGCGUAGAUAUGCGGAGGAACACCAAUGGCGAAGGCAAUCCCCUGGGCCUGUACUGACGCUCAUGCACGAAAGCGUGGGGAGCAAACCGGAUUAGAUACCCUGGUAGUCCACGCCCUAAACGAUGUCAACUGGUUGUUGGACGGCUUGCUGUUCAGUAACGAAGCUAACGCGUGAAGUUGACCGCCUGGGGAGUACGGCCGCAAGGUUGAAACUCAAAGGAAUUGACGGGGACCCGCACAAGCGGUGGAUGAUGUGGUUUAAUUCGAUGCAACGCGAAAAACCUUACCUACCCUUGACAUGUCAAGAAUUCUGCAGAGAUGUGGAUGUGCUCGAAAGAGAACUUGAACACAGGUGCUGCAUGGCCGUCGUCAGCUCGUGUCGUGAGAUGUUGGGUUAAGUCCCGCAACGAGCGCAACCCUUGUCAUUAGUUGCUACGCAAGAGCACUCUAAUGAGACUGCCGGUGACAAACCGGAGGAAGGUGGGGAUGACGUCAGGUCCUCAUGGCCCUUAUGGGUAGGGCUACACACGUCAUACAAUGGCCGGUACAGAGGGCUGCCAACCCGCGAGGGGGAGCCAAUCCCAGAAAACCGGUCGUAGUCCGGAUCGUAGUCUGCAACUCGACUGCGUGAAGUCGGAAUCGCUAGUAAUCGCGGAUCAGCUUGCCGCGGUGAAUACGUUCCCGGGUCU
rnacentral:rRNA from 1 species